rnacentral:lncRNA from 1 species
CCAGGUGAAUCAUCGAAUCUGAUGAAAAGUCCAAGCAUCGUCCAAGAAAAAGGUAUAUUUAUCUUUAGCCUUUAAUGGGCUCCCCUGUUUUUAGCCUAAAAAUGGCAAACAAAAAAUUAUGUUUUAGUUUAUUAUGAUUUUACUUUGAUUUAGUUGGUAUUUAAAUUUAUAGUAGAUAUAUUUAGCUUAUUUUAGAUUUAUUACUAGUAAGAUAUAAAUAUAUAUUGAAUUCAAUGAAUAAAUGGCGUAAAAAUAGAUAGGCAAAAAAAUAUUAGGCGAAAUCGACGGUUUAAAGCCGGACUAAACCAUUAGGUUUGGGUUUGAGUUUUUUUCAAAUCGUUUAAAAUGGUUUGGUUUAGAUUUGGCUUUUUCUCAAAUCGAUUUAAACGGUUUGGUUUGAAAAUCUGUCAAAAAUCGAUAAAAUCGGACCGCUUACACCCCUAAUCACAACACACCUUAUUGAUAGAACUUGGAAAUUAUAUAAGAGGAUUUUGAGCUUUUCCGUUGUUCCAAAUCAUAAAGGGAGACAACAGGAAAACUUGUUGAAAAUAGUUUCCUUGAUUGGGGAAUAGAGCACGUGUCGAUUAUUAUUGUUGACAAUGAUGCAAAUGAUGACAUUUUAUGGAUCUUUUGAUGACAUUUUCUAGUUGUUUAACUUAUGAUGUUGGUUUUAAAAUUUUUGAACUUCUGAUUAUUAUAAUAAUAAGAUGGUCUUAUUAAUGUUCUUUUGAGGCUCUGUUUAAUGUUGGUCCUAUAUUCCUAAUAAAGUUUUUUUAAAUUCUAACUAGUUUUUAAUUCUCUUUUAAGGUUGGUCUUAUUAAUUUUUUGUGUAACUUCUAAUCGGUUAAGGCUCUGUUUAUUUCUCUUACGAUUAGUCCAUUAAUGUCAAUUACUAAAUCUAUGACAUGAUGAAUAGUUUGUGAUAAUUCCUCUAAUUAGAUGGUUGGAUUUCCUAAAUAUGUAUUCAAAAAAAUAUUAUGGAUAGAGCCGAAGGUUUGGGUUUGGAUUUGGAUCCAAUAAUUACGUGGAACCGAAUGGAUCUAGUUACGAAAUACCCGAAAUAUAAUGGGUAGUUCUAUGUAUUGAAAUACCCGGACCUACCCACCCGACACCCACCCCUACUUAUUCUAGAAGGAUCAAGAAGCAUUGUGUAGAAUUUGCAGCAACAAAUUCUGUUCUCGUAGCAGGCUGAGGUGGACAAUCAGUUACAUAGGAACUAUUAAUAUAGAGGCAACCGGUAGCAAUAGUCAGGUAAAAAUUAGUGAGUUGGAGUGUGGAAUAAGAGAGUAGUAGACAUCUCAAAAAGCUAUCUAUUACUUCUUUCAUUGCUGUGUUGUUCUUUUAAUUACAUCAAUAUACUGCAGCCCUUGAUUGUAGUAGAAGUACGAUCUUUUUACAGCUUGAUUACUAUAAUCGCGGAAAAACUCAGUAAAAUUUUCAACUAAUCCCUCACUCAAAAGUCAUGAAUCAGAUUACAAGUCGCCAAAAGCACCGGUAACAUAUUAAUUUUCCCCCAAUUACUUUGUACCAAAACAAAAAUAAAUUACCUUGCUUAGCACUGACAGAUCAAGCAACAAAUCAGGAUUAAGCUCCAAUGACAAGAUCAUUAACCAUUAGUGUAUCCCCAAAAAAUUAAAAAAUUAUCAAGCAAAUCAUAGAAAUACUUACAGAGUCAGUGUGUGUAGAUGCAAAGAUGAAACAAAUGAGAUUAAGUGCCAAACGAGCGAAGAUAGAUAUUGGAGAGUGUGGAGCAAUCUAAGCCGAACGGCGAAGAGAGAAAGCUGUCGGCGCAGUAAUGAAGUGCCACGGCUAAACUCAUUUACUUGAUGUCACUGGACACCAAUUUUCGAAAACCAAAAUCGAAUGAUAAAAAAAUUUUAAAAUCCCCGCUUAGACUUCCUUUAAAAAAAUAAUUUAUUUUUA